AAUGGUGCCUUCACAAGUGACCUCUCUUGUGGUCACUCUCCUAGUGGCAAUAGUCUCUCUCACAUUGCCUUCAGAAACUUCAGCUAACUACCCUUACACCUCUCCACCACCACCGGCCUCUCCUCCCUACCAUUACAAGUCACCACCGCCUCCUUCUCCUUCUCCUCCAGUGCACUACUCACCACCUAAGCAUCCCUACCACCCUAAGUCACCACCACCUCCUGUGUACGCACCACCUAAGCAUCCCUACCACCCUAAGUCACCACCACCUCCUGUGUACCCACCACCUAAGCAUCCCUACCACCCCAAGUCACCACCACCAUCACCAAAGCCUUACCACUACAAAUCCCCACCACCACCUCCUGCUCCAGUGCACUCACCACCCCCACCUAAGGAGCCAUACCACUACAAGUCCCCACCACCACCACCCAAGAAGCCCUACCACUACAAAUCUCCCCCACCACCUCCUCCUCCAGUUCACUCACCACCACCACCCAAGGAGCCUUACCACUACAAAUCUCCACCACCACCACCCAAGAAACCUUACUAUUACAAGUCUCCUCCACCACCACCAAAGAAGCCUUACCACUACAUGUCUCCUCCCCCACCGGUGUACUCACCACCUCCACCAGUGCACUCACACCCACCACCAAAAAAGCCUUACCAUUACAAAUCUCCUCCCCCGCCAGAAUAUUCACCAGCUCCACCAGUGCACUCAACCCCACCACCAAAGAAGCCCUACCAUUACAAAUCCCCACCACCACCACCACCACACAAGAAGCCUUAUUACCCUGUUCACUCACCACCUCCACCUAAGAAGCCUUACCACUACAAAUCCCCACCACCACCUUCUCCUACUCCUCCUAAAUACUCACCACCUAAGCACCCCUACCACUACAAGUCUCCACCACCACCACCAAAGAAGCCUUACCAUUACAAGUCCCCACCACCUCCUUCUCCUACUCCCCCUAAAUACUCACCACCUAAGCACCCCUACCACUACAAGUCACCACCACCACCACCCCAAGAAGCCUUACCACUACAAGUCUCCACCACCACCACCUCCUCCAGUUCCCACACCAUCUCCACCCAAGAAACCUUACCACUACAAGUCUCCCCCACCACCCCCUCCAGUCUACAAGUCUCCUCCACCACCAGUUUACUCACCACCACCACCACCUAAGAAACCUUACAAGCCACCAACUCCUCCAGCAGUUCACCCACCACACGGUUACAUCUAUUCCUCACCCCCACCUCCUCACCACUACUAGAUAUUGAAAGUUUAAUUGCAUCAAGCUGGUAAGCUUCUCCAUUCUAUGCUAUUAUUCAUUAAUUAGUUAGUACUACUGUUGUCAAUUUGGAAAUCACCAUACAACCAAAUGCACACUCUGACGAAAUAACAUAUAAAUUCUAAUUGAAUAGUCUUUAUUUCCAUUUUUGGCUAAUAAUCCUUAUUAGCAUAUGGAUAAUGUAUUUCCAACAUAUCGUUAUUAACUUAUUACUCAAUUAAUAUUUCUUUUUCUUUAAAUUCAGUAGCCGUGUGUAACAAAUAGACCAAUGGCAGAGACCCAACAAAUAACAAUAAUAUGUCUUUGCAGGUAAGGGAAGAAGAAAGGUCAGAAUAAAGAGGGGCUGUUGAAGUCGAACAGCGCGCCUUAUUACCACACAAAGAAGAAGAGAGAGAAAAAAACGAGUCUCCACGCAGCUGCUGAUGUGACGUGUUUUAUGUAUGCGAUAUUCGAUAGAGGUUCAUAUUUUCCUUGGAAUAUUAGACAGUUGUAGGGCACUCAUGUUCCAUGUAUUUUAUUUCCUGUUUCUCAAAAGAGAUGGUAUAUGUAUGUUGUUUGUUUCAACCUUCUAAUGGAGAGGUGAUCAUCAUAAUAAUAAAAUAAAUACAUUCCCCAAAUUUUACUUAAUUUCUCAUAUAUCUGAUAUGUUUUACUCUCUUAAUUAAAGUUUCCUAAUAAUGUUAUAAAAACCACGUAUAUCACAUUGGUGUACCAUUUAUUCUCACAAGUAAUGUCACGUCAAUUAAUGAGUUUAUCUCAUUGAAUAGUAAUUGACUUGCUUACAUUAUAUGGUAAUAAUGUGGUGUAAAUAUGUCGCAUCGUCCUUAACAUCACUCUAAAUUUCUUGGUAAUAAUAUAUGCGAGCAGUGUUAACAAAUCAAAGGAUGAGAAAGAAGAAAAACUAUUUGCAAAUUCUUAUUCUUAAUAUUUCAUAAACACAAAAUAAAGAAGACUAUGAAUUGUUCAAAUGCAUACUAAGUGAUCUAUUUUGGCAAAUCAUCUUAGUAUUGUAUUAUUUUCUUCAAUUAAGUGAUCUAUUUUUUUUCAAUUUGUUUUCCAUAUUUCAUGGCUUAAAUUUGUGAUUACUUUUUCAACAUAAAUGUCAAAUACUUUUUCUAAAAGUUAAUGUUGUCUAUUAUUUAUCCGUUGCUGGGAAAAAAAGUUAAAGUGGUAAUCUUAUUGAUAAAACUUAGUUCACUACACUAUAUAUACAAUUGUCUUCCGGUAGACCAUCAUGGAUAAAAAAUCAAAAGGAUUAUCGAAACCCCAAAAAAUUCUCACUAGUAGAAAGAUUGUUCAAAUUCUACAAUGAACCACAAGAAGUCUAACUCACUUGGUCAUUGCUGAUUGACUAUCAUUACUAGGUUAAAGCAACAUUUUAAGUUUUAACCUAAAUAGGAUCUCAACAAGCUAGGGUUUGAGAUUAGUGUUUUAGGUGACGACAGAGCUCUUUCCUUUCUUUAUGUUAUCCAAACUCUUUUUCUUUUUUCAUUUUUAUCAAGAAACUGUAGGUCUCAAUCAAAUUUAUGGAUUAUGGAUUUUAGUUAUGUAUUCUUAGUGUGGAAAUUUGACUAUAAAAUACGUUGACACUUGUCCUUUAAACUAAUGCAACCGAACAAACUUGUAGUUAACAAUUUUAUUAAGAGAGAUUAUAUUCACACACUUCAAAUUACUUAUGUCACACCUUUCUAAUUUUUUAAUAUUUUCUACACACCACUAACACUUGAAAGAAAAAAUAUUAAAAAAAUUAAAAGAGUGUGGGGCAAGUAAUUUGGGGUGUGUGAAUAUAAUCUCUCUUUCAUUAAAUCAUAACAUGGUGGAGUGAGUAAGUGAUGAGGAAAGACAAUUACGUCGCUCAUAUGCAAAUGAGUGGACAAACCUUCCAAUGGAUGCAACGGUGGUCAUGAAUUAUGAUUGUGUGUAGGGUUUCGAGUUACCGACGUUGACUGUCAUGCAAAUUGAGUACGUAGCCACUUACACUUAAUGGCAGAGGUCGAUGAUUUGCGCUACGGAAAAUGGUUUGAUUUGCUUAUACCAAUUACCAAACAAAGCAAAUAUAUUCGUCCUUUUGGUUUGGUUGUCAACUGUCAAGUAUGCGUUAGAAUUUUUUAAUUUGGGUUAAAUAAAAUAAAAAAACAAUACUCAAAACUUUUUGGGGAUGAGAUCUGAGAAAUUUAAUUUUUUCCCUUCAUAUAUUAGGGAUGAAAGUUGACUUAAUCACACACAAUGGAUCAUACCAACAAUAAUUUAGUAUCGAAUUCAUCAUUCAUGAAAAUCAUAUUUGAGCCUAAAUAAAAAUAAGCAUGUUAUGGGGUCAAUCUACUUUUAUUUACAGAAAGUUGCACGACUCAGGCCCACCAACUUCAAAGCCUAAUUCAAGAUCAUAUCACAAAGCUUGGGCGACCUUUUUGUCCCCCUCCUAGCUAUUCGAGGGCUUGGGUAGAUCUCUCUAUGAAGUGCGUCCACCACGCAGAUGACCAGACCCGGGAAUAUCUCGCCUCCUUAAAUGUUGAUGUACGCAUCAUCUAACAUGCUAAUGUCACCAUUGCAAUUAUGAAAACGGCCAUGAAAUACAGUUUAAGGCCACCAACCAGAAAUUAUAGUCAAUGUCAACUCACCGAUCUACCCAUGCUCCAUCUUAGCCAUGAGAUCGAGGUUGCUCUUGCUUCAUUGCCUAUAAAUAGAGUGGGAAACCUUCAAACUUAGGACCUUCGUCUGAUCCAAUCUCUACAAUUAUAUAAAACCUCGAUUGAUUCUUCAAUCAACCCAACUUCUUUCAAAGUACAAUCCAAUUGCUCUUCAACUACAAUCACAAAGCCUUCGUUAAAAGCAAACAUUGCCUAUGUCCCUGAGAUCUUAAACUUUUACAGCUUUUCCAACCCGUGGUAUGAUUCGGUUGAUGUGUCAAUCCAACCACCCUGAUUUCCUCUUAGAGGCACAUGUUUUGGACUAAGUCCAAUUUGAUACCAGAGACCUCAGUGGACUCCUCUAGCAUUAUCUAUCCCUUCAUGGCCUAAAUCUUGUAAGAGUUUUUACAGCUUUCUUUACAAUUUUACUCAAUUUUCAUUUCAAGUCAUGUAGCUCGGCCCAUCGGCCAAGAUUUUACUUUUAUAUAAUGCUUGUAAUGUUGACUUCAUUAUGAAAUAAUUACAUUUUGUUCAUCACAUUAUUUUCCAUUUUCCUUUUUCAUGUUUUAGGCAAAAACACAAAAAAGUUACAUUGAAUUUUAAGUCCUCAUUCACUCAAGGCAUAGAAAAAAACUUAAACGAACUAGCGUCUCAUUCAAUGCACAACAAUUGGUUAAGAAGUCAGAUCUUUGCGCAACUUUCACACACAUCCAAAUACAAAGAUUGUCUGUUGACAGCCUCCAACAAUAGCACACCCAUUCUCUCAUUUUCUCGAGCCACCUCGUGACAUUGAUAUAAAAAAUAACACUCGGGGAAAAUAAAAGUUACAGUAGUAGUGAAAGAAAUUUAGUUGUUGUAAUAACUGAAUUUUGAAGGGCAUAUUAAGUAAUAAAAAUUAUGAGCAGAUAGUAUUUGCCCCAUUUGGCCUAGUGUCGACCAAAAAUGUACCUUCACCUAGAAAAGGAUUGUAGAAAGUGAAGUUAGUUCAAUAAUUGUCCUCUUUUUUGUUUUCUUUUUCGAUAUUUUAAGUGCUAUAUUGAGACUUUGGGGGCUUUUUUUUCCCAAAGCUCUGGCCUAUUCCGCGAAGAACUGAGAUUGAAUGGAGACUUUAUCAUUCUCACUAAUAUUAUAAGAAAAAUUGCACAAUACCAUUGUAUUAUUAAUUUGAGACAAUGGUAUUAAUUAUAGACAUUACAAUAGUGUCAAGAAUAAUGCAAAUAACUCAUUCUCCUUUGUUUAUUAGGUCGAAUUUCACUAGCUACAAAUAAGUUUAGCGGGGUGUAAGGAUGGAGACUUUAUCAUUCUCACUUAUAAAUCAUCAUAUAUUUAGGUGUGGGGUAAGGGGUUGGGGUAGAUUAGGUCCCAGGUUCGAGGCCUGGUGGGGUGGGGUGGGGUUGAAAAAAAAAAUCAUAUAUUUAGGUGUGGGUUUGGAAGGUAGACUUGAUUCCGCGGUGUUUUGAGGAGGAGGAGGGCAAUCUUAUUCUUGGUUUACCAAUAAGUUUAGCAGGGUGUAAGGAUAGAGUCAUAUGGCACUAUUCAAGAAAAGUUGCAAAACCACUAAAACUUUAUUUUAAGAGUCAAAUCUACUAAAUUCUUCUCCAAGAGACUUGAUAAAGGACUCUAUAUAAUAGCAAGUUGCUCUUUAAAUUUAUAAGUAAUGCCUAAUGGGGCUUUUAAGAAAAUAUUAAUAUUUAAAAAAAAAGUAUUAAUUUUUGUUUUAGACAUUGUAUAAGGAAAAUGAUAAGCAUACAUCCUUUUUAGCCUCGAUCAACACUUAUAUUUAAUCUUGUUCAUUAUUUUUGUUUGAUUUAUACAAUGCGAUGGUCAAAAAAAUAAAUAAAAAAUAUGUUUGAGAAGUUAAAAAUGAUGUGUGAAAAUCACCUGCCAAUAAACAAAUCUAUUAUUAAAACUAAUACAAACUUUAAAACUAAAACUCAUGAUCAAUUAAGAAACGCUCAAGUCAAAUUCAUAAUAGCCAUAAAACAUAAAACACCUAAAUUUACUAUGCCAAUUCAAUCAACAAUCGUAUUAUAAAUAUGUUAAAUCCUUACAUGAAUGGAAUUGUUAGCCCAUCAAUCCAAGUAAUUGAAUGAUCUUUGGAGAUUUACUUAAGAGCAGUAUUAAUAUGAAUUAUGAACUUAUGAGAGAGAAAUAAUCUAUUAUUCUUUUCUCUAUUAGGCUAUAUUAUAUUUAUUUUGUUAUUGAAGAAAUUAUAUAUUGUAUAAUAUUUCCAUGGGGUGCAAAAACAUCGGGGCGCCUUUUUUUAGUUGGGGACCUUGUGCAAUGUCUUAUAUUCCUCCCCUUCAAUCCGGCACUGACAGGAAGGGAGAGAACGAUUUAAAAAAUGAACGGGUUGAAUUUGAAUUGAUAAUAAUUAGUAAAUUAUUUAAACUUUGUUAAAUAGAAAAUAUUGUUGAAAAUGAAAAGUUAAACUGAGUAAUUAAAAUAGUUUUUUUGACACUUUUCACUUGCUUGUUUAACAAAAAUUUAGAGCUUGUCUUUGAGAUACUCUUACUCCUUUAUUUAAAGGACUCGGCUUUUCUAUUAUAGCUGUCGUAUUCAAUAUUGUUGCAAUUAAUGAACUUAAAUCAUUUCGUUAUGACCAAAUUAAGAUAAUCAUGGACAUGUAGAUUAGGUAGCUAAUUCUGAUUUUGACUCGAUCACAUCAAGGUUAUCGUAAUUAAUGUCGGUUAAUUUAAUAUGCGUCUCUGAUCUGAUUACAUUACCAUGGUACGUAAACAUGUGUAUCCAUCUGCAAGACUCAAGAUUUAUAAUUUUGUUUUGUUUACUGUUUUUACGAAGAUAUUUAUGAUUUGAUUUUAUAAUAAAUUUUUUUUUAAAAAAAAAAUCAGAGCAAAACUGCAUCAUGGCCAACAAUCCAGCCAGAUUCAGUUCAACUAUAAUUUUGGCCAAUUUUUCAAAGCUGAUGGAUGUUAGUAGAUUUGUGUGGGGAACACUGAAAAGGCUAGAUUAUGAAAUACCAGAAAAGUAUUGACAUUUCAAUUGCUUAAACCAACCAUGAUGAAGAGUUCUAUGAAUUAUUUUUCAAAAUUUGAUUAAAUUGUGUCAUCCAGAUUAACGAACAUUGUUUCAUUGAAAUUAGUUCAUCAAGAUUGCGUAACUGGGAUAGCUUUCACACUGUAUUAACAUACAAAGAGGCUCUACUUCGUUAGAGUGUUCAAACUGUACACGUAAUUUGACUGCCGUACACAUUUUUCUUAUAUCUCUCCAAUCAACUUUAUUUUUCCUUUUGAAUAAAUUAAAGAUAAAGAAAGAAAACCAUUUUGCCUUAAAUGGCAAGAGAUUGAUGAAAAUCUACUCUAAAGAAGGGACAGGAUAUAUAUAAAUUAAAAUUCAUCAUGUACAAAGUAAGCGUAGGACAUUUUCAUCAUUUUACUUUGUCGUGCCCAUAAUUCUUUGCUCUAUAUAUUUUAUCUUUGUUGGUGGUCGAUGCUUUGGUUGGCUGUCAAUUGCGACGGACUGUCGUAAAAAUUGUCGGCAACCAACCAUGUGUUCUUGCAUGCCCGAUGUUCUCGCCACCUCACGUGGAAAUUUCCAAUGGAAUGGAGGGCCAAAUUUCAGUUUUUAUAUCAAUUUGUUUAUGUUAAAAUUUUCUUGUAAUAUAAGUCAAUGGUUGAAUUUGCAGUAGAAACAAACAAAAUAUGUGGACGAAUUUGAUAAAGUACAAGAAAAAAAAAACUGCAACUUAAGUAGAUGACGUGAUUCUUCACCCGGACAACAAGGAAGAAGACAUGAAAUCGGGAACACUGGAUGACGAAGUACACAAAUUAAACUUAUCUAAUCCAUUUUAAUAAAUUGUUACAGGGUGGCCAGUGGUCGGGAAUAAAUCACAGACUCGCAUUUCAGAUACCUCACGAACUUGAUUUUUGUUACUAACAAAUCACAUGAAGGUGACCAAGAGAAGGUUGAAAUGUCAUUGUGAGACGUCUUUCUUACCCUCGAAAGAUGAACUACCGUAAUGAAGCCACCAACUCAUCUUUUUAAAGGAAAGAAAAUCUAAGCCGUCCUAAUACAUGUUGUCACUCAUGGGAAUUAGAGAAGAAAUAUUCGUUAGCCACUUACAGUUGGAUGCUUAUUAUAUUAACUAGUUACAAAGUCAAAGGUUUUUCAUUGAAUGGAAUCAUAAGAUGUAAACAUCUAGGAUUAAUAUUUGGAAAAUAAUUAAACUCAAUCCCACCGCGUAGUUCUGUAACAAGUUUAUAUGUCUAAUAGAGUUUAUAGAUCUAAUAGUUAGUUAAGAGUAUUCAUUCUUACUCUUGAAGUUUUUUUGUUGACACUCUCUCUUUUAACCAUUUCUUGUAAUCAUUACAAGAAUUUGGAUUCUUUUAAUCCUAGGAGUGCAAUACUAAUUCUUAAUCUUUGUGUUAACCAUAAUAUCAUGACACAUAUCACCAAGUAUGAUCAGCAACUAGGAGAACGAGAGAAGAUGCGUGACUUAAGAAAAUUGAUGUGAUUUUGGAUUUUUUUUUACUUUAUGCACGCCCGCUCUUUAAAAAAAAAGAAAAAAGAUAUGUGAAAGGUGAAAAACAGUUGUUUCCGACAAACAUAAUUCACUUUCUAUAUGUGUACUUUGUAUUUUUUUUCAUCAAGUAAGGAAAUGGUGAAAAGAAAAAUGUACAUUAAUCGUAUCAUAUGAUAUAUUGUUCUUCUCAAGACAACUAAGAAGCUAAACUUAAUGUCAGAGAUUAAGACGUUUUGUUGGCUUGUCAUUCAAGGAAAGCUUAAUACAUAUAAUAUAGAGUUGGGAAGGUUAAUUUGUCCGUAUCUUGUGUAAAACAUGAUCUGGAUUUCAAACCCCCUAGACUUUUUGUUGUCCUACUCACGCAGCCCAUUCCCAAGUUCCAACCCUCCCAACAACCCUAUCCAGGAAGGCCAGCGCAGAUGUUAAGGCUGUGACCAGGGUUGUAAUACCAUCUCCAAUGGAUAAGUCAAAUCAUAAGUGGAAUGUCGCAUAAUUAAAUUUAAAAGUAAAAAAGAAGUUCCAACCGAUAGUUUUUCCGGAUCCUGAAAGAGUGGAUAACCGUGACUUAUCACCACUUGUCUUAUUUUUCGAAGAAAAAAAAAUGUCAAUCCUAUGUGAAUUAACAUGAGUUUUUGGUAUCAAAAUUGACAUGAAAAAUGUGUUGGCAAUUAAUUCUUUAGUGAUUUUAUUGUGCGGGUUUUAUUAAUGGACCAAUUCUAAAGCUUAAAAAUUAUUUUAAUUGAUUUCUUUUUCAUAAUGAACCUACGGAUAUUAAUUAUAAAUUUGACAUUACCACAUCAAUCGUUAAAAUUAACAUUUGACAUUCAUUUUUUGACUUUUCCAUUGAAGAUGUUCCAAUUAGCUUCAAAUGCCUUCGAGUUGAACUCAUGUUUGGGUCGUUUUAGGCAUGUUCAAUCUCUACUUGCAAGUAAAAGGAGUCGGGCACGAACAUAAUAUUCAGUUCGAUACAAAGAUGAGAUAGAAUUUUAGUAUGAUCAAAAGCUCGUAAAACUCUUAACAUCCCAUAUCAUUUUAUAUUGGACAUGCAAUCAUUUGAAAGUAUAGAGCUAUGCUUAAGCACAAAUUAUAUCAUUUGAACCAAGCACCUGGUACUUGGCGCGACUCAUCAACGCAGCUCUUGCAUUUUGUCCUUUGAUUUCUUCAAUAUAAAACCAUAAAUAAAUAGAAAUGUGCAAGAUAAGACGAGUCUGAUAAGAUUUCAAUAGAAGUGUUCCAUACGAACACUGUGCCAAGCACUUUUCAGCUGUUGGAUCGACGGAAUUUUACCACUGCUAGGCUAACAAUAUAAUUUCCGUUCGAUCUCUUUCAUAAACGAAACACUAAAACAUGAAUCGAUUUAUCAAUCACCCGAUUAACAUACUCCAAGAAACAGGAAAACAAUCAGUCACAAAUUACUCGCAAAUCGCAAUUAAAACGAAAGAAAUUGAGAAAUCCGGACUAGGCUACAAGCACGUCAAGUCAAGAUCGGCAAAACAUUUAAUAAAACACCAAAUCUGUCAUAUUUUCUGACCUUCCAAAUAUUCAAGUCCAUAACAGAAUGAACAAGCUGAAAACAGCAGAUGAAAUAUGCACAAAGGGAUACACCAAACGUACCUCCAUCGCGAGAAAGAUACACUGCGUUUUGUGAUCGCAUCUACACCAAGCGCUUCGUCCGACAAAACCAUCACUACACAUAUAGGUAUAGAAAAUAUCUAGCAUAGCGUCUUCAUCUCAUUUCUCAAACAGACAAUAUUAUACAAUGACAUUCAACUGGGUGUUUGCUUCGAUGAGUUCUACAACAGACAGGAAAUCAGAUCAUCAAGCACUAAUCACUAAUGACAUCGUCUCUUGAGCAAUCUCUCUAAUUUUCUCUUUCCUUGAGUGUACAGUAUAACCUCUAUAUUCAUAUGAGAAACAAACGAAAAAAACAAAGCCUCAUCCAUAUCCCAAACACCUAAAAAUGAGCCGGUCAGAAUGUUGCAAAAAGAGAAGUUUCGGGUAUUUCAGAAAUUUUCUGAGUCGUGUCAUAACUCUCAAGUGCCAUUGGAGGGUUCUGAAAUUUCCUGAGAUUUCAUGCAUUUAGUUCAGUGUGGGGCUGAGAGCCUGAUAGAACAAGGGAGAACCAAACAUCAAGAAAGACGAGAGAGAGUGUCCUACCUGGACUUCUUGGAGGAGAGAUUCAAGUUGAGCUGUUAUAUCGGAGAAGGAAGGCCGAUUGGAAGGAACUGAAUCCCAGCAACUCUGCAUUAAUUCCAAAACCUUGGGGUGUCCAUUAUUCGGAAUUUCCGGUCUCAGCCCCUGGGAAAUAGAAUGUCAAACAAAACAUAACUAUUUAGGCACAAAAGAAUUUGGAUAAAAUACUACGCUGAGUGAACAGCCAAACCAGUUGGUAUGUACCAUUGUACAUGAUUUCAGAGGCAUAAUUUAUACUUAUUUAUAUUAUAAGCAACAAAAAUGUCAUCAGAAGAUACAGAAAUUUGUUAUUCACUAAGUUUUACCCUUUUCUUGCGUUUAUAAAAUAUAUGCCUGCUUUGUAACAGCUUUUUUUAGUUUGAAUGGGAGGAUAUUCAGACCACAGGGUUACAAACAUAAACUCAGGCACGUCAUCAAUUCAAACUUUAAUUCGACAUGUAGAAUUGUCAACAUCUGUAAGAUACACACAUGGCAGGCAACAGGACGAAACACCAUAGAGGAAAAUUUAUAAUCAAGUUGCAUGAACUGUGGAUUAACAGGAUUUCUUAAGCAGCAAAUACAAUGCGGGCUAUAGAAAACACGUCUUCAUUCAUCAAUAUUCAAUACACAGACGAACAGAUAUAAAUAAUACAUAUGUAUUAUAAAUGGAUAUACGAAUAAACAAUAAACCUGUCUAACUCCCAAGGCAGCUUGCAAUGGAGUCAUGGUAUCAUAUGGAACCUGCAAUACAAAAUCAUACGAGUUUGAAAAUAAAUAAAUAAAAAAAUCUUAAGAAGUUUGAUAAUGUCCACAUCCAAAAUUCCCAAUACACAGAGGAAGCAUACUUUGGCUGUUACUAGCUCCCAAAGUACAAUUGCGAAACUGAACACAUCUGCUUUCUGAUCAUAUGGUUGAUGGUUGAUAACCUUGCAAAAUACAAGAAACCAAUAAGAUAUUGAAAUAAGAAUGUAAAUCAAUGUCGUCAAACUACGGUGCAUCUGCUAUGGUAAUGACGCAGUAACAAAACCAGAAUGUUGACAUCCAAAAUGCAAUUAACAAAACAGGAAAUUCAAUGAACCAUAGCCUGCUUGCCAAAACAAAGGGAUAUUGAUAAUUGUUUAUGAUAAACUAAUCAAUCCAUAGAUCACAACAAAGGACCAAUUUGUGAACCAAGUCCAACGGUUUAAGAGUUGACAAUAAUUUUCACGAAGAGACAAAGCAGGAAAAAAAAAGCAGAGGAAAAUAUUGAACCAGAAGAAUCGGACCUCAGGUGCCAUCCAUCGAUAGGUUCCAGUCUCUGCUGUCAUUACUCCCUCUUGAUUCUGAAACCGAGCAACACCAAAAUCUGCCACCUUUACAACCUGAAGGCAAACAAGAAAAUGAUUUUCAACUGUAAAAGAAAAGAAAAACCUAUUUGUUUUUCCUAAACAGAAAAAUAGAAUAGCCAGGAUGUGAGAGGAGAUUUCAACCAUUUAUACUUGGAAAUCUAACCAGGAAACAGUUUACCCAUUAUCAUAAACAAAUAAUGCUGUGUUUAGCUUUGAACUUUACUUAUAGUUAUUAAAAAAUAUAAAUAUACUUGUCGAAAGUAGAAUUGCAUUACCCCACAUCUUUAAACACAAAUCUAACUUCAUCAUUCAUGACAUCCUGAAAGUAUCAAAUUCACCAUCGACAAAAACUCAGAAGACAUCAAUUCCAGUAUGUCCAUGAGAAUUUUGGUCGAAUUGAACUUUUGACAUGCAGAUAUACUUCUCCCAUAAUCAAACUUCAUACCUCAAAGCACAACGCACAAUUACCCCAUACAAAACAAUAGACGGUUUGGUUACUCAAGUCCAAUAACUACAACUUAUAUCAACUAAAGCAGCAAUAGAUCCACUGAAGACAUUAGCCCUUUUAAAAAAAUUACAAACAAAUCUAUUGAACUUUAUCGUUUUCCUGUCGCCUAAGUUAAGCUGUAUAUGUACAAUGACAAAUUAAAUCAAUAGAGUUAUCAUGAAUAUGCGUAGGUUACAUUUUGCAGAAAGUGAAGCUGCCAAACAAGCAAACAAUAACCUUUAAUUCUUACAUUGUUAGUGUCCAUUAGCAGAUUUGCCGUCUUUAGAUCCCUAUGAAUUAUGUUAUUAUGAUGCAAAUACUCCAUUCCUUUACAGACAUCAAUUGCAAACUUUAGCAGUUCUGAAAGCUUCAAGAUGUUAUGAUUCUUAUGCAAAUAAUCGUAAAGACUUCCACCGGGCAUAUACUCUGCAAAAAAUAAAAAACAAAUGAAUUUUCAUAAUUAUGGUAAUAGUACAAUACAGCAACAAGUCGGCACUGGACUAAUUAUACUCAUCUCAAACUACAAACAGAUCUAAACAGUAAAGUUUUACAUAAAGAAAUCAAGAUGAAAUCAACAAUAAAGCUCUAACCAUAAAAAGAUACCCUGCCAAAUACUAUCCCAAAAUUCUCAAGAAACAACAUCCAAAGGUAAUCCCAAAACAAAAUCUAUCCCACGAAUGAUUACAUCCUUCAACUCCUAACCUACAUGAAGCUUCAUAAUACGCACCAAGUUGCCAAAGGCUGGCUGAUUGACAAAUUACAUAUAAUAGGGAAUUCCAAUAUGCACGACAUCCAAACAGCUUAGAGGAAUUUAAAAUAUAUAACACACAAGUAAAAUCUUCCUAAAUGCUGCAUACUCAGAGAAGAAGUACUAGCGCAUCCAAAACUUAAAAGAGUAUAAAUAAUGUGUAAGUAUGUUCCAACAACAACAACAAGGCAUUUUCCCACUAAGUAGGGUAGGCUAUAUGAAUCCUAGAACGCCAUUGCGCUCGGUUCUGUGUCACAUCUUCUGUUAGAUCCAAGUACUCUUAAGUCUUUUCUUAUAGUCUGUUCCAAAGCCUUCCUAGGUCUUACUCUACCCCUUCGGCCUUAAACCUCUGUCCUGUAAUCGCAUCUAGUGUAAGUAUGUUCCAAGAAAGAUAUUUUUAGUUCCAUUAAUACUUCUCCUGAUCCUAAUAAAAAUUUUCAAAAAGAUAGAAUGAAAACUUUGGUUGGCUACACCUAUAUUGGUGGAAACCAUCCGAUGUCAUUGAUUUUUUGUAGAAUGAUAUCCUUUGGUCCAUAAAAGAUAUUUUAUGAGAUCCGUUUUGGCGAAUGGUAAAAGGGGAUAGCUUUUAAGAAGGGAAAUGUGAGUGUGUUGGGGUGGAUUUUCUCCCUUUUUAUGUUCCUUGUAAAAGAAUAUACUAUGCUUCACUAACAAAAUUAAAAAGUAAAAAAGAAAACUUAUAAACAAUCUGAUGCUUAUUCUUACUUUUCUUAGUUGCACUGCUUCUAAAAACAUCUCCACAUGUAAGAUUCUGAUACAGAAUGAACAAAACCUCGAAAGAAGCUAACUUAACAAAUAUAGUAAAUGUUGGAGGCAACCAACAGGAGAGUUCCAUACCUGUCACUAUGCACAAAUGUGGAGACUUUGUACAUGCACCGAUAAAGCGCACAACAUUACUAUGAUGGACCUCUCUGCAAUCAUAAAACAAAUAUAAUAUAUAUCAGUAUUGCUUAAUAGCAAUACGCAUGCCAACAUAACCUAUAAAAUGGAACAACAGUUUUCUUUUCCCUUGAAUAAGAGACAAUUUAUUAGUAAAGAAUAAGAUACAGAGAAGACACUAUGAAAAACUAGAAACAGCAAAAGGUGGAACCUAGCCAUGAAUUUUAACUGCCUAGAUGUGUGAAAUGCAGCAUGGGCUAGCUGCAUUUUACUUAACUAUCAGAAAAUUCAUUCACUUUAUGGGUUUCAAGAAUAGUUACAGCUAAUAUACCACAAAAUGAAAGACUAGCUGCAUUAAAUGUGAUUUUUUAAAUGACACAAUAAGACAUGUUUCUUGGUUCCAUUUGUAAUUACAUUUGGCAUAUUCUUCCAAAGCCUCGUCGAAAUAAAGACCAGCAACCUGGAUAUUCAACCAGCAAUCCUGGAUAUUCAACCAGCAAAUCCAGAAAACGUGAAGCAUUCUCUUGUCAUUCCCAGAGAUUAUAGGAAUUGUUCUUGUACAGGCUAGUAUAGAAGUUCAUUAUGGAGGAUGUUGGAAAAUAAUGGAAAAAUCUUUAAAAGUUUACAAGUGGAGAAGAGCUCUCAAUAGAAAUGAUAAGAGUGAUUUCAUAUGAACUCCCCAGCAGGGACCAGCCUAGAUUAAAAGAAGAUAAAGAUAGAAAAUUAUUCACCUUAAAAUUGCCACUUCUUGAGCAAACUCAUCCUCUAGAGCAUCAUUCAAAUGUUCAGAUCUCAAAAUCUUAACAGCAACAUCUUGACCAAGAUAAAUUCCACGAUACCUGAGAAUGAACAGUAAUAUAAAGUUAAGCAGCAGAGAAGACUAUAAACGAAUAAAGGAAUGCCAAAAAUAAAACAUAUCUUACAAAUCUCCACAUGACCCAGAUGCAAUUCUGUCUCCGAUCAUUAAUAAUCUUCGGUCUAUUUCCCAGAGUCCUGUCUUUUCUUUCACCGAUAAUUCUUUCUCCACAGCCGAAUGAGAAUGUGAAGAUCUUGACCAUGACCCCUAAAUUACCAAACAACAGAUACGUAUUACUAUCUUAUAAUUCUUCGAUUAUUUUAGCAUUGUGACGCAAUAUACCUCACUUCUAGCAAUUGCCUUUUCCAUAGCUUCAUACAGACCAUCUGUAUCCUGACCACAACAUUGCAAAGUCAGCAACAUUUGAACUCAGCACAGUUGUCAUAAAAUUAAUAUAAUCACAAUUCCCCUUAAUGUAUUCUGAAGACAUUUUCUUGGAGGAACUGUAGCUUUUUCGACUUGUCCAAUUUGAUAAAACCCAAUAUUUAUAACAAACAUAUUGGGAUGCAUUAGAUCCAAUAAUUGUAGCAAUGCCAUAUUACAGCCCAGAGAUAAACACUGACUAAAAAGCGUUCAUCCAUGCAUAAAAAGAGAAAGCACAUAAACAGCUUGCAGUAUAGCAAAAUCCAUAGCCAACAAAAAUAAGCAUAUUGUAGUAGCAAUGUACCACAUAUUUUAAGAAAGGCCAUCCAACGUUUCGUGUAUUGGAAAUUACUCAUUUAUAAUAUAAUAACAUGCAAAAUUUCAAGAUUCAAAACUCUGACAGUAGAAAGUAAUCUGUGAAUGACGAUAAACACAUUAUAUAGUAAAAGAAAACUACCUCAACAGGCCAUCCAUCUACCACAAAUACAUCUAAAGAGUAGCCAUCGCUCGUCGAGAAGACAUGUGCUUCACGGAUGUUAAGUUCCAAAUCCGAAAGCAAGGAAGAAAGCUACAGAAUGAUGACAUAAGUUAGAAAGAUGCGACCACAGUAUGGUUACACUUCUGCAGUUAUCUUGGAUUCUACAACAUAAACAAUGCAUAUAAUAUGUAUCAAAUGUACUGAAUAGUCCAUUGCUACCUUUAAAUUCAUUUUCCAAUUGAAUUUGAAGGCUAUAGAUUUUCAACUUUAUAUUAAUGAAAGAAAUCAUAAUGAAAAAGAACUCUUCCAAUACAACGUCUUCUCACAAUUAUAUUUAAUACCCAAGCUUACUGCAUUGAGGUGCCAGCGUGUGAGGUCUAGACACUAGAGUUGACACAAAACAUCAGAUGGAGAACCAUAAAACAUGAAUGACGGACCAUCACAGUGUCACAUGAAAACAAAGAUAGUUGCUUGAGUUAUAAACAUUAGGUAUUGAACACACAUUCAUAUUAGUGAGUACCAAGAGAACUGCUUAAGUGGAGACAGAGUAUUACAGGAUAAUGAAGCUAUCAAAUGAUGUCAAAUUUCAAUACCCUUUAACAUUGAAGAAAUUAUGUACAUGUGGACACUAAAACUACAGAAAUACUAUCACUUGAUGCUAUUCAAUCAGAUGAUCCUUUUGAUUAUUAAUUGAAAAAAGGAAUGCUGAAUCCAACUUCAUGAUCCAGAAUGUAAGUGCAAUAUCAGAUAAGUUUGUCCACUAUCCUAUCAUACUAAUCUUAUAUGACCCCUUUGAGAUAUAACUCGUUGAACAGUUGAACUUAGUUUACCAAAUAGACCUUCAGCUUUAAUUUGCAAACACGUAAGGGAACAAUCAGCAGAUUUUCGGGCUUCAAACUCUGAUUUCUUUUCAGAUUCUAAGAAUAUUUUGAAACUGAGAUCGAGGUAAACUCCAGGUGGUAAUACCAAACUUGACAACAAACGAAUAAAUUAAACCUUCUCAGUCAUACCUGGCUAAGAAGCUUAGGCUUGUCAAUAGUUGAAAAUAUUACUUCAUGAAUGGGAACAUGUGGUAUAUCUUGCCUGCGUUAUACAGCCCAAUGGUCAAUAUCAUUUCUGCAUAAUUAUACAUGUUUUUUCUUUAAAUGAGAAACAAAGUUUUACUAAAGAUACUCAAAAACACAGUACAAGACUCUGAACAAACUGGUCCACCAACAAAAUGAUUCAACUAAUGAAAAACAAAUCUGAAUUACACCUAUGACAAUGUAAUGGAACUUUCAAAAUUACCCUAUAAGAGCUUCCCAAUCUAAUAAGAUGUUAGAAAUUGGUAGAUCCCUAAAGGGUGGAGAAAAACAAGCUGAUAAGCAUAAAUGUGAUCUCUCAAAUAUACGGGCACAGUUCAUAUAAAAACUGCACAAUUAAAAUAUAAAGUAUAUGAAAAAGACCCGGAUAAAGGAGGAGGGGGAGGGCGUCAGGUAGUCGACAGCCGGCACUCCAUGAUCACGUCGAAUCCUUAUGAAAAUGAAUCCAGAACAAAAUCGCGCUAAAGCUAGGGCGUCACCCGUAAGUGGCGCGCUGUGUGGCCUGAGCACAGUGAUAAGUGAGCAAGGGUCGCUGUAUCUCCAUCGGCACCCGGAUGCAGUGUUAAAUGAGCAAGGGGGCCAUAGAAACUUCUUUUCGAACGACUCCACUCAAAGUUGUUUGGGAGCAUAUGCUCCUAUCAACUUUACCCGGGACACACAAAAGAAGUACUUUGAUCCUAUUAGACGGGGGAGGGUGAAGAAGCUAGGACAGAAGGGUAGAGUUCAAGAGAGCAAAAUGCGUUUAGGAACGUGGAAUAUAGGAACCUUAACGGGAAAAUCUAUGGAAGUAGUGGAAGUUAUGGUGAGGAGAAGGAUAAAUAUUAUGUGCCUACAAGAAACUAAGUGGGUUGGUAGUAAGGCAAAGGAUCUAGAAAACUCAGGGUUUAAACUUUGGUAUUCGGCACAAAUAGAACGAGAAACGGUGUUGGCAUCAUCGUGGACAAGACCUUGGUACAAGAUGUUGUAGAUGUCAAGAGGGUAGGAGAUAGAAUCAUGGCAAUCAAGAUUGUAAUAGGACAAGAACUUAUCAAUGUGAUUAGUGCGUACGCACCUCAAGUAGGGUUGGAUACGAGUUCGAAGGAGAAAUUUUGGGAAGAUCUUGGAGACUUGGUGCAAGGAAUUGCUCAGACGGAGAAGUUAUUUAUAGGAGGAGAUUUAAAUGGACACGUGGGCAGGGAGACAGGCAACUAUGGAGGUUUUCAUGGUGGCCAUGGUUUUGGGGAGAGAAACGAGGAUGGGGAAGCUAUCUUGGAUUUUGCAAUGGCAUAUGAUCUCUUCUUAGCCAACACCUUCUUUAAGAAGAGAGAAGAACAUGUGAUCACCUACAAGAGUGGGUCGUCAAAAACACAAAUAGAUUUUCUUCUAAUGAGGAAAGGGGAUCGUAUAACUUGUAAGGAUUGCAAAGUUAUACCAGGAGAGAGCGUGGCUAAUCAACAUCGCUUGUUGGUGAUGGAUGUACAUAUCAAAAGAGUAAGACAAAAGAACAAGACUUGGAAGUGCCCAAGGACUAGAUGGUGGAAUCUAAAAGAAGAAAAACAAGCCAUUUUCAAAGAGAAGGUAAUCACCCAAUGUGUGUGGGAUAGAGAGGGGGAAGCUAGCCAAAUGUGGGAUUCCAUGGCUAGUUGUAUCCGAAAAGUAGCAAAAGAGGUAUUAGGAGAGUCCAAGGGCUUUGCCCCACACCAAAAGGAAUCUUGGUGGUGGAAUGAGGAGGUACAAACAAAGGUGAAGGCUAAGAAGGAAUGUUGUAAAGCCUUAUACAAGGAGAGGACUGAUGAAAAUGGUGAAAGGUAUAGAAAAGCGAAGCAAGAGGCGAAGAAAGCUGUCAGAGAAGCUAAGUUAGCGGCUUACGACGAUAUGUAUAAACGACUAGAUACCAAAGAAGGAGAGUUGGAUAUCUAUAAACUAUCUAGAGCAAGGGAAAAAAGAAGACAAGGGACCUAAACCAAGUGAGGUGCAUCAAGGAUGAGGAUGGAAAGGUUCUUGCUACAGAGAACGCGGUUAAAGACAGAUGGAGAGGUUAUUUUCAUAAUCUUUUCAAUGAAGGACAUGAAAUGAGUGCUUCUUUAGGGGAGUUGAGUAACUCAGAAGAGUGUAGAAACUACUCUUUUUAUCGUCGAAUCCGGAAGGAAGAAGUGGUUGUAGCUUUGAAGAAGAUGAAGCAUAAAAAAGCAAUAGGCCCAGACGAUAUACCAAUCGAAGUGUGGAAACUUUUGGGAGAGACAGGUAUAACAUGGCUCACUGACCUUUUCAAUAGGAUUUUGAAAACGAAGAAGAUGCCAAAUGAGUGGCGAAUGAGCACUUUGGUGCCUAUCUACAAGAAUAAGGGCGACGUACAAAAUUGCAUGAACUAUAGGGGUAUUAAGCUAAUGAGUCAUACAAUGAAGCUCUGGGAGAGAGUCAUUGAGCAUAGAUUGAGGCAAGAGACACGGGUUUCGGACAACCAAUUCGGGUUCAUGCCAGGGCGCUCAACCAUGGAGGCAAUCUAUCUCUUACGAAGAUUGAUGGAAAUAUAUAGAGAUGGGAAAAAGGAUUUACACAUGGUCUUUAUAGAUUUGGAAAAAAGCGUAUGAUAGGGUCCCAAGAGACAUUCUUUGGAGGAUUUUAGAGAAGAAAGGAGUAGUACGAGUAGCAUAUAUCCAAGCUAUAAAGGAUAUGUAUGAAGGAGCAAAGACUGCCGUAAGAACUCAUGAAGGACAAACCGAAAGCUUUCCCAUAACUGUAGGAUUACAUCAAGGCUCAUCCUUAAGUCCUUACCUUUUUGCGUUGGUAAUGGAUGAGUUAACACGACAUAUUCAAGAUGAUAUUCCUUGGUGUAUGCUUUUCGCAGACGAUAUAGUGUUGAUAGAUGAAACUCAGGAAGGGGUAAAUGCAAAGCUUAACCUUUGGAGAGAAGUGUUGGAAUCUAAAGGUCUUCGCCUAAGCCGAUCAAAGACAGAAUAUAUGGAGUGCAAGUUCAGUGCAAAUGGAGGCCAAAACGAGUUAGGGGUGAGGAUCGGAGAUCAAGAAAUACCAAAGAGCGACCGUUUUCGUUACCUAGGAUCUAUCUUUGCAAAAGAACGGAGAAUUAGAUGGAGAUCUCAACCAUAGAAUACAAGCUGGAUGGAUGAAGUGGAAGAGUGCAUCCGGCGUGUUGUGUGACCGCCGUAUGCCACUGAAGCUCAAGGGAAAAUUUUAUAGGACGGCAAUAAGGCCGGCGAUGCUGUAUGGCACAGAAUGUUGGGCGGUGAAACAUCAACACGUACACAAAAUGGGUGUAGCGGAGAUGAGGAUGCUUCGUUGGAUGUGUGGGCACACGAGAAAGGAUAAGAUUAGGAAUGAGGAUAUCCGGGGUAAAGUAGGAGUAGCCGAAAUUGAAGGAAAGAUGAGAGAAAAUCGGUUACGGUGGUUUGGACAUGUGCAAAGAAGGCCUACUGACGCUCCGAUUAGAAGAUGCGACUAUGGGACAGAGGUUCAGGGCCGAAGGGGUAGAGGAAGACCUAGGAAAACUUUGGAAGAGACUCUAAGAAAAGACUUAGAGUACUUGGAUCUAACGAAGGAGGACAUGACACAGGAUCGAGCACAAUGGCGUUCUAAGAUUCAUAUAGCCGAUCCCACUCAGUGACUUGGAUUUUCCAAGUCUCCAACCGAGAAGUUUUCCUCACUCGGGAAAUUAAGGGAACACUACCCCAACCUACAUGCUCCACUCAGAAAGCUUCAACAUACAAGCUUCAACAAAAGAAAAUUCAAAGAACUUAGCGAAGAAGGCUUUGGUGUAUUUAACACAAUACGUUGAAAUGAAGGAAAGCUUAUUUAUUGAUAUCCCCGAUAAGCUACAAAUAUGUACAUAUACAUGAGUCAAAAUAAACACAAGAGGGAGCCUUCACAAAGGUUGCUUAGGAGAAGUCUCAGCAGUCGGUAGAGCCCCAGAAAGAGAAGGCACCGGAGGGGGAUCAUUUGGAGCCUCAGUACUGGACAGAACCCUAGAAGGAGGAGGCAUCAGAGGUUGAUCAUUUGGAGCUUCAUUACGCGGUACAGCCCCAGAAGACGAAGGCAAUAAAUGCCUUUGGAACAAACCCACAAAUCUCUGAUGAUCAAGUAAAACCUGACCAUCAGUUUCCUUCAUCUGGUCAAGCUUCCUCUUCAUGUUUGUAGCAUAGUCAUGUGCGAGCCGGUGCAACUGUUUAUUCUCAUGCUUGAGCCCUCUAAUCUCCUGUUUGAGACUCAUCACUUCAGCCGCCAAUGAUUCAACUUGGCGGGUUCGAGCAAAUAGGCGUUGGGCCAUAUUAGACACAGAACCUGCACACUGAACACUGAGAGCCAGCGAAUCCUUAACAGCUAACUCAUCAGACCGUUUGGAAAGUAGUCUGUUAUCUUUGGGAGUGAGAAGGUUCCUGGCCACCACCGCAGCGGUCAUAUCAUUCUUCAUCACGGAAUCCCCAACGGUAAGAGGACCAGUAGGGGAGACGAAGGAUGGGCGCCAUAUGUUGUCUGGAGAAGGCGGGGCUGCCUCUUCAACAAGGUUCAAGUCAAAACGACGGUCGGAGGGGCCAGACAUUUUCAAAGGUGUUGAAGAGAGAAGAGGUCGGACAAAUCAAGAUCUUAGAAGUGCAAGAAUGAAGCUUCUACUGGUGGAGAUUCAAGUGUGCUUUGGAACUUAAUGCCAGCCCCUAUAUAAAAAUCUGCACUCGACGAAGCUUUAGAAAUCGAAGAGGCGCCUGCUCAGAAAUCGAAGAGGCGUUUGCUUUCUCAAAAGCUGGGCUGCUUAGAGAUCACGAGGGUUGAUCUCAGAAAUCGAAGAGGUGUUUGCUUUCUCAAAAGUUAGGCUGCUCAAAGACCACGAAGGCCGAUCUCAAAAAUCGAAGAGGCGCUCGCUUUCUCAAAAGCUGGGCUCCCCAGAGACCACGGGGGCCGAUAUCAGAAAUCGAAGAGGCACCUACUUUUCCAGCCUUUUCCAGCCUUGUCAGCACCUGUCACACGCACACUCAGUUUUGCGGAAAUUAUGGGCAUUCUGUCAAAGACUUCUGGGGAAGUAGAAAACACAUGAAUCUUACUGUUCAAUCACCCACUUCCCACACGCAACAAUAGCUCAUGGGUACCACAGAUAACUUUGCCAAAGUUCUCUGCCAAAGUUGAGCACGUGAAGCUUGCAGCUCCUACUACAUCGCUCUGACCAAGAAGGGUAAAAGAAUAGCAAAGAAACAGCACUAACAAAGUUUAGACCCAUAAAUUUUGAAGGUCUAGCUACCAUAUUAUUACCCACAAGGGUAAAGGAACAGUACCACUGCUGGAUAAUUGGAAAGUCCCUGUGUGUCAACCUCUGUGCUUCGUGGCAAGGUAGACUAGCAAACAUGCCCAACCUUUACUCACAUUCGAGAAAACACUCCCAAUAAGAUUGCUUGCUCCAAAAUCGAAGAGGCACCGUCCUCCGAAUCUCGAGAGCCAGACUCCCAACAUGACUACUUUCUUAAAAAUCGAAGAGAGAGGGUAAAGGAACAGUACCAUUGCUGGAUAAUUGGAAAGUCCCUGUGUGUCAACCUCUGUGCUUCGUGGCAAGGUAGACUAGCAAACAUGCCCAACCUUUACUCACAUUCGAGAAAAACACUCCCAACAAGAUUGCUUGCUCCAAAAUCGAAGAGGCACCGCCCUCCGAAUCUCGAGAGCCAGACUCCCAACAUGAUUACUUUCUCAAAAAUCGAAGAGACACUGCUCCCCGAAUCUCGAGAGCCAGACCCCCAGCAUGAUUGCUUUUUCAAAAAUCGAUGAGGCAUCGUUCUCCGAAUCAAUCGAAGAGGCGCUCGCUUUCUCAAAAGCUGGGCUGCUCAGAGACCACGAGGGCCGAUCUCAGAAAUCGAAGAGGCACCUACUUUUCUAGCCUUGUCAGCACCUGUCACACGCACACUCAGCUUUGCAGAAAUUAUGGGCAUUCUGUCGAAGACUUCUGGUGAAGUAGAAAGCACAUGAAUCUUACUGUUCAAUCACCCACUUCCCACACGCAACAAUAGCUCAUGGGUACCACAAAUAACUUUGCCAAAGUUCUCUGCCAAAGUUGAGCACGUGAAGCUUGCAGCUCCCACUACAUCGCUCUGACCAAGAAAGGUAAAAGAAUAGCAAAGAAACAGCACUAACAAAAGUUUAGACACAUAAAUUUUUGAAGGUCUAGCUACCAUAUUAUUACCCACAACUGUAAAGGAACAGUACCACUGCUGGAUAAUUGGAAAGUCCAUGUGUGUCAACCUCUGUGCUUCGUGGCAAGGUAGACUAGCAAACAUGCCCAACCUUUACUCACAUUCGAGAAAACACUCCCAAUAAGAUUGCUUGCUCCAAAAUCGAAGAGGCACCGACCUCCGAAUCUCGAGAGCCAGACUCCCAACAUGAAUACUUACUCAAAAUCGAAGAGAGGGUAAAGGAACAGUACCAUUGCUGGAUAAUUGGAAAGUCCCUGUGUGUCAACCUUUGUGCUUCGUGGCAAGGUAGACUAGCAAACAUGCCCAACCUUUACUCACAUUCGAGACAACACUCCCAACAAGAUUGCUUGCUCCAAAAUCGAAGAGGCACCGCCCUCCGAAUCUCGAGAGCCAGACUCCCAACAUGAUUACUUCCUCAAAAAUCGAAGAGACACUGCUCUCCGAAUCUCGAGAGUCAUACCCCCAGCAUGAUUGCUUUCUCAAAAAUCGAAGAGGCAUCGUUCUCCGAAUCUCGAGAGCCAGAUACCACAGACCACUUUUUCAAAGUGCUCUGACAGAGUUAAAACAUGUGAAACUGGCAGCUCCCACUACCGUGCUAUGACCAAGCAGGGUAAAGGAAUAGCAUUACUACUUGUUGUUAGGGAGACUCCUAUAUAUGUCGACCUCCAUCCCCAACGGACAGGCAGACCUGCAAAAAUGCUCAACCCUUCAUCAUAUCUGAGAGGGCACUCCCAACGAAGCCUUUCGAAAUAUUCAGCUUUCUUUCCCCCCGAUAAUACCUCUGCAAACAAGCUAUACUAGAGCAAGAAUAUCUCAUAUCAUCAGGGUUAAAAGCAAGAGUAUCCCAUAUCAUGCUUUUUCCCUGUCUUUUCUUUUUGGCCUUGUUUUUACCUGCAAGACAAGGAGAAAGAGAGCAAUCAGUCAGCACUUGGAAUCAAGCUUCCAGCCAGGAACUGACUGCCUGGAACCCCUUACCUGAUUACUUACCUGGCAUUGCUCUCGAGUACUCAUCUUCAACAUCUUAUGUUUCCAGGGAAGAUUCCGCAUCUGCUUGAGGAACAGAUAGGGCAAGUGCGAAGGAUACAAGGAAGCAUGUGGAGACAAGCGUAACAGCACACGUGCCGAUACAUUCAUUACUCUGUCAAAAGCAAAAGUAUCCCAUAUCAGCAGGGUGGAACGUACUCUAGAUUUGAUGGACUUGUUUUGACCCUCAAAUUCUUCAGUCGGCCUUAUACUCUGGAGAAAACCAGAAAACCCUCCAGCUCAGUUCAAGAAUAAGCCUGUGGAAAGUUACUUCUUCAAAAGCAAAAGUAUCUCAUAUCAUCUCUUCUCAUUUUUCUUCUCUUUUAUCCUUCAUGCUGCUGCAAGAUGGGGAGAAGGUGAACAAUCAGUCGGAGCUCUGAUUGCUUACCUUGUCUGUCACCUCUUUCAGCAGACCCCUAGCUCGGCGACUUGGGGGACUCCUACUACAUGGUUUGUAUCGCGCUUGACCAAGCCUGAAACUACAAGUAAGCUUCAAGUGAAAUUGAUACAUUACCUUGUGCAUCUCCACCAGUUAAAGAUAUCCACCCCUGGAUGGAGGAAGAGUACUUCCAGAGAAGAUGCCACAUCUACCUAUGAGACAGAUAAGGCAAGUCAAGACGACACCACACUCCGAUACUUAGAAGUUUCGUGAUUACGAGAUCAUUCUCCCACAAUAUUUCCUAAUGUCAUUUGUACUAAAAUCAUUCACUUGUACUCACUAAAUGAGAGCUUGAACCUAUGUACUUGUGUAAACCCUUCACAAUUAAUGAGAACUCUUCUAUUCCGUGGACGUAGCCAAUCUGGGUGAACCACGUACAUCUUGUGUUUGCUUUCCUAUCUCUAUCCAUUUAUAUACUUAUCCACACUAAUGACCGGAGCAAUCUAGCGAAGAUCAUAAAAAGCGAUCGUUUUCGCUACCUAGGAUCUAUCUUGCAAGAGAACGGAGAAUUAGAUGGAGAUCUCAACCAUAGAAUACGAGCUGGAUGGAAAGAGUGCAUCCGGCGUGUUGUGUGACCGUCGUAGGCCACUGAAGCUCAAGGGAAAAUUUUAUAGGACGGCAAUAAGGCUAGCGAUGUUGUAUGGCACAGAAUGUUGGGUGGUGAAGCAUCAACACGUACACAAAAUGGGUGUAGCGGAGAUGAGGAUGCUUCGUGGGAUGUGUGGGCACACGAGAAAAGGAUAAGAUUGGGAAUGAGGAUAUCCGAGGUAAAGUAGGAGUAGCUGAAAUUGUAGGAAAGAUGAGAGAAAAUCGGCUCCGGUGAUUUUGAACAUGUGCAAAGAAGGCCGACUGACGCUCCGGUUCGAAGAUGUGACUACGGGACAGAGGUUCAGGGCCGAAGGGGUAGAGGAAGACCUAGGACAACUUUGGAAGAGACUCUAAGAAAAGACUUAGAGUACUUGGAUCUAACGGAGGACAUGACACAAAACCGAACGCAAUGGCGUUCUAGGAUUCAUAUAGCCGACCCCACUUAGUGGGAAAAGGCUUUGUUGUUGUUGUUGUUGUUGUUGUUGAUUAAGCAUUAAUAUCAGCAUAAAGAAAAAUUAUUUUCUAUUUUUAAUUUGGAAAAUAAGACCUUUAGCAUAUUACUUCAUAAAUAUGUGUAUUUACUAUUUAUGCGUGCAUGCAUAUGUUUGUCUUUAUACAAUUUCAUGAUCACAUUGUACACUUCUAUGUAUCAUGUCUACCCUUUAUACACAUGAAAUAUCAUAUACAGUAAUUGCUUGUCAACACAUUCAUUAGAGCUUUACAAAUCGUUUAUCUAAUUUCUGUUUGAUAAGAUACAACAAAUUUAUCAGAAUAAAAUUUUGAUAAAAAUAGUGCACAUUAAAGCAAGAAGAAAGUAAGUUUUAAACAAGUGUCUUCCAACCUAUAGAAAGAGGGCUUCUCAAAAUUCCACCCAAAACUUUAACACUGAAAGCCUAUAAUAAGGCAACAUACAUUAUUCUACCCCUAAUUGCUACAAAUUCUUGAUGCUUGACCCAUAGCAAUUUUUCAGUGUGCAUCUCAAUAUUAACUUAGUCUUCAUCAUCCCAAGUCCUCAAAAAUGUAUACGCAAAAUAUGAGAAGUCAAAUGAAGCAAAACAAUAACUAACUUCGCUGCACAUAACAAUCUGCUCCAUAACUUAACCAAUGCAUAUGUUCAUCCAAAAGAAAAUGAUGCAUCUAUUCACCAUUCUUUCUACUGUUAAUUCACCAUUUACGAUAUAAAGAAAGGUCUGACUCACCUUCGAAGAAAAUUACUAGUGCUAAAUUUUUCAUAAGCUUUGCCCAAGGUAAAAGUUAACUUUCCUAGGAACCAGUGGAUUCCAUUAAAUCUUUAGGAAAAAAACUGAUAGAGUGACAACCAAUCAACCUUCAGAAUAAAGAGUUC
rnacentral:lncRNA from 1 species